rnacentral:misc_RNA from 1 species
AAAAGUAAAAAUACUUUUGGGAAGGUAAUCAGCAUUACUAUCAUAAACAUCAAUUCAUUGCUCAUCAUCAUCAUUCAUUGGAGGAAAACCCAAUGUUUAUUAAGCACACAAUGAAUAUCUCUAUUUCUUGAUUUAGCUCAUUGUAUUGUAGUGAGCAAUUGCUUCAACAGUGUAGUUUGACUUUGUUGCUUUCUAAUUUCUUAUGGAGAUAUGUUGAUUUUUUACAGACAACUUUGGGAAGAGUGACUA